AUUGAACGCUGGCGGCAUGCUUUACACAUGCAAGUCGAACGGCUGCGCGGGCUUCGGCCUGGCGGCGAGUGGCGAACGGGUGAGUAAUACAUCGGAACGUGCCCAGUAGUGGGGGAUAGCUCGGCGAAAGCCGGAUUAAUACCGCAUACGACCUGAGGGUGAAAGCGGGGGAUCUUCGGACCUCGCGCUAUUGGAGCGGCCGAUGGCAGAUUAGCUAGUUGGUGGGGUAAAGGCCUACCAAGGCGACGAUCUGUAGCUGGUCUGAGAGGACGACCAGCCACACUGGGACUGAGACACGGCCCAGACUCCUACGGGAGGCAGCAGUGGGGAAUUUUGGACAAUGGGCGAAAGCCUGAUCCAGCAAUGCCGCGUGUGUGAUGAAGGCCUUCGGGUUGUAAAGCACUUUUGGCGGGAACGAAAAGGACUGUGCCAAUACCACGGUUCGAUGACGGUACCCGCAGAAUAAGCACCGGCUAACUACGUG
rnacentral:rRNA from 1 species